rnacentral:rRNA from 1 species
AGCUCCAAUAGCGUAUAUUUAAGUUGUUGCAGUUAAAAAGCUCGUAGUUGGAUUUUGGGUUGGGGCGGCCGGUCCGCCUCACGGUGUGCACCGGCCGACCCAUCCUUCUUGCCGGGGACGCGCUCCUGGCCUUAACUGGUCGGGACGUGGAGUCGGCGAUGUUACUUUGAAAAAAUUAGAGUGUUCAAAGCAGGCCUACGCUCUGAAUACAUUAGCAUGGAAUAACGUGAUAGGACUCUGGUCCUAUUGUGUUGGUCUUCGGGACCGGAGUAAUGAUUAAUAGGGACAGUUGGGGAUAUUCGUAUUUCAUUGUCAGAGGUGAAAUUCUUGGAUUUAUGAAAGACGAACUUCUGCGAAAGCAUUUAUCAAGGAUGUUUUCA